UACAGAGGUCCCAAGCGUUGUUCGGAUUCACUGGGCGUAAAGGGUGCGUAGGCGGUCGGGUAAGUCUGAUGUGAAAUCUCACAGCUUAACUGUGAAACUGCAUUGGAUACUAUCCGGCUCGAGGAAUGGAGGGGAGACUGGAAUACUUGGUGUAGCAGUGAAAUGCGUAGAUAUCGUAAGGAAGACCAGUGGCGAAGGCGAAUCUCUGGACAGUUACUGACGCUGAGGCACGAAGGCCAGGGGAGCAAACGGG
rnacentral:rRNA from 1 species